rnacentral:rRNA from 1 species
UACGAAGGGAGCUAGCGUUGUUCGGAUUUACUGGGCGUAAAGGGCGCGUAGGCGGUCAGCACAAGUCAGUUGUGAAAUCUCCGGGCUUAACUCGGAAAGGUCAACUGAUACUGUGCGACUAGAGUGCAGAAGGGGCAACUGGAAUUCUCGGUGUAGCGGUGAAAUGCGUAGAUAUCGAGAGGAACACCUGCGGCGAAGGCGGGUUGCUGGGCUGACACUGACGCUGAUGCGCGAAAGCCAGGGGAGCGAACGGG